GAUGAACGCUGGCGGCGUGCCUAAUACAUGCAAGUCGAGCGAACAGACGAGGAGCUUGCUCCUCUGACGUUAGCGGCGGACGGGUGAGUAACACGUGGAUAACCUACCUAUAAGACUGGGAUAACUUCGGGAAACCGGAGCUAAUACCGGAUAAUAUAUUGAACCGCAUGGUUCAAUAGUGAAAGACGGUUUUGCUGUCACUUAUAGAUGGAUCCGCGCCGCAUUAGCUAGUUGGUAAGUUAACGGCUUACCAAGGCGACGAUGCGUAGCCGACCUGAGAGGGUGAUCGGCCACACUGGAACUGAGACACGGUCCAGACUCCUAAGGGAGGCAGCAGUAGGGAAUCUUCCGCAAUGGGCGAAAGCCUGACGGAGCAACGCCGCGUGAGUGAUGAGGGUCUUCGGAUCGUAAAACUCUGUUAUUAGGGAAGAACAAAUGUGUAAGUAACUAUGCACGUCUUGACGGUACCUAAUCAGAAAGCCACGGCUAACUACGUG
rnacentral:rRNA from 1 species